rnacentral:tRNA from 1 species
UUACGAUUUAGUGUAUCUUGCACAUAGACCUUUGGCAUCUAAAGCGGCCCACCCAUUCGAAA